rnacentral:tRNA from 1 species
UCCCUGGUGGCUCAGUGGGUUAAGGACUCAGCAUUGUCACUGCUGUGGCUUGGGUUUGAGCCCUGGCCAGGGAA